rfam:Colletotrichum orchidophilum strain IMI 309357 Scaffold_95.1, whole genome shotgun sequence.
GAUUAUGAAGUAGAUGGUCUACACUUUGACUGCAAAUCUUAAGUAAGAGGUUCGAUUCCUCCAUGAUCU